rnacentral:rRNA from 1 species
CUUUUGUAUAAUGGGUCAGCGACUUAUAUUCUGUAGCAAGGUUAACCGAAUAGGGGAGCCGAAGGGAAACCGAGUCUUAACUGGGCGUUAAGUUGCAGGGUAUAGACCCGAAACCCGGUGAUCUAGCCAUGGGCAGGUUGAAGGUUGGGUAACACUAACUGGAGGACCGAACCGACUAAUGUUGAAAAAUUAGCGGAUGACUUGUGGCUGGGGGUGAAAGGCCAAUCAAACCGGGAGAUAGCUGGUUCUCCCCGAAAGCUAUUUAGGUAGCGCCUCGUGAAUUCAUCUCCGGGGGUAGAGCACUGUUUCGGCAAGGGGGUCAUCCCGACUUACCAACCCGAUGCAAACUGCGAAUACCGGAGAAUGUUAUCACGGGAGACACACGGCGGGUGCUAACGUCCGUCGUGAAGAGGGAAACAACCCAGACCGCCAGCUAAGGUCCCAAAGUCAUGGUUAAGUGGGAAACGAUGUGGGAAGGCCCAGACAGCCAGGAUGUUGGCUUAGAAGCAGCCAUCAUUUAAAGAAAGCGUAAUAGCUCACUGGUCGAGUCGGCCUGCGCGGAAGAUGUAACGGGGCUAAACCAUGCACCGAAGCUGCGGCAGCGACACUAUGUGUUGUUGGGUAGGGGAGCGUUCUGUAAGCCUGUGAAGGUGUGCUGUGAGGCAUGCUGGAGGUAUCAGA